rnacentral:rRNA from 1 species
UCCUAGCCGUAAACGUUGGGCACUAGGUGUAGGGGGUAUCGACCCCCUCUGUGCCGAAGCUAACGCAUUAAGUGCCCCGCCUGGGGAGUACGGCCGCAAGGCUGAAACUCAAAGGAAUUGACGGGGGCCCGCACAAGCGGUGGAGCAUGUGGUUCAAUUCGAUGCAACGCGAAGAACCUUACCCGGGCUUGACAUGUACUAGACUGGUGUGGAAACACACCUUCCUUUCGGGGCUGGUACACAGGUGCUGCAUGGCUGUCGUCAGCUCGUGCCGUGAGGUGUUGGGUUAAGUCCCGCAAC